AAUAUUAAAGAUAAUGACAUAGGUAAUGGAUGUGGUAACACUAAUAUUCAAAUUUGACUAAGAUAAUCAAAAGUCAAGGGUCUGAACACAUGAGCAGCCUCCUUCUCUAUUAACUCCAACUGCCCUUUGAAGAUGUGCAUGUACACAAUCCAGUCACCUUUCCUAGCCGGACUCGGCAUUGGCAUCACAUACCCGGCAUUGCCGCCCCACGGGAAAUGGUAUGACCCGAAAACCGGCAGUCCCCACCCGAAAUCCACCUUCGAAACAGGAAAUCUUUGCCCCGAUGACACGACAAAAGCGGGCCCUUCUUCACUUCCACUGCUGUAUAUCUUGGCCAAGGCUGGCACCGGUCUAUGAGCCUCAACCCAAUCUAUUAACCCCAAAAAAUGCUCCUUUGUUACAGCACAUUUCAAAAAAUCGUGGACUUCCUCAGCUACCCAGUUCAACGACUUUUCAACUAGGUCUUCCACUUUUUCCUCACCAAAUGGAAUGGAUAGCACAUUUCCAAAGUAUGUAGCCAUAUGUGAGGCUUGGUGACUUUGGUAAUUUCCUCGCUCAUUUAAUCUCGUUCGUCCAUCAACAACAAUGCCCAUUUUGCAUAAUUUUUGGGCACAACCAAUUUUAGUGUCAGAUUUAGCCACCAUCUUCCACAAGAAUGCACAAAACGACUCGAGCUUGGUCCUUUUGAACCCAUUGGAGCUUGCAAGGGCUUGCAGAUUAUCAAGUUGCUCUGCUGUGACGUAGUAAAUGCGACUGAUGAGAUGGUCUUGGUCAACAUCAGUGUCGUUUUUGGGAGGUGGCAGAGCUGUGAUGGGCACGUACAUUUCGUUUAGGGAUGGAUCAAUGUGACCAGGACGACGAGGGUUGAGCAAAGAACGACGAAAAGUUGGUAGCAGAGAGAGUGAUUUCGACUGAGCCAUCUCAGCCCAUGAGACCAGAAACAUGUUGGUCGAGUAGGCGUCUGCUAUGCGAUGAUCAAACGAGCAUGCCACCACCAUUCCUCCACACUUGAGCUCAGUUGCCUGCAAUUCAUUUUGUUUCCAUAAUGUUAGGAUAUUUUGUUAUAACGUAAAUAUGAUUUAAAAUAAGGUUUUGUGUUUGCAAUUAAUGAGUCAAGUUUUUCUCGUGGCAUUCGAUAUAACUAAGGUUCCCAAAGUCAAGUUCUAGCUGGUCCAGAUUUUAUCUAUGUCGACAUAACAUGACCUAUCUAGAGAGACAGUCUGACAGAUACCUGGACAGCCAACACCCCAUGCUUCUUCUUGGGAACCAAUUUGCCCUCUAUGCUCUCAUCGGGGUCAUAAAGGUUAAGGUCCUUAAGCUCAACAUCUGCAAAGGCUUCAAAAAAAUCGACACCACGGUUGUUGCACAAGAUCUCAGGCUCCCCAACAGAGUUUUGCACCACCUCACCUGAGAAGGCAUAGAAAGUGACCAAAGCUUGGGCCAUGGCCUUUCUCAGAACCCCAACCAUAGACCAGAAGCUCAUGCUCUGCUCAUUUUUGUAGCAGAAAAACACCCCCACGUCCACAGGAGGCAGAAGCAAGUCAAGGUUGGAGAGUGGCAGCCAGUGCUCUUGCAAUGGCAAGGCAGCAGCCACCACUUCCUGCUUGAUCAUGGUCACCUUGAACUCUCCUCUCUCCAUGUCUGAUUAUUUGAUUGCUAUAUGGUUUGAUAUUUUUGUGAGCAUAAGGAAGAGAGGGAGGCAAUUUAUAAGCAGCCAAUAGGCUCAAGACGAGGGAAAUUUCUAGCAAGACUAGCUAGCCAACUACUCUCCUAUGCGGACCAAAAAGACAAUAAAAGCCCUCAAAACCUGGAAGAUGUUUUGGUAUUGGACGGCGGAAAAAUGGUCAGAUGACAAAGUAUUUGAGUAUAUUCUUGCAUAAAUGACACUAUUAGACUACCACUGUUUAUUGGUAGCCUGCUCUUGCCUACCACUGUUUAUUGGACUAUUAGAACAAAGUCAAUGUGCUGUAGAUUCUUGCUUUAGGAAAUUGGGCCUCGAGGACUGUGGCGUGUGCCUCGUGUGUGCACGUGUAAGGGUAUAACCUUUUUGGUGAUUCAUGUUGCGGAGUACAUUAUGGGGUCGUUUGGUAUGACGGAUUGUUAUAAACUAGAUUAAAUUUUGGAAUUGUUUUAGAUUAGCUUAGAUUAGACUAAGCUGGAUUAAGUACUGACUACGUUUGGUGCUGCGUCGGACUAAGAAGCUGGAUUAUAAAAAUAGUGAAGACCUAUAUUUGGUGUUGUGUCGGACUAAAAAAAAAAUUUAUAUUUAAAAAAAAUAAUUUUUAAAUAAUUAAAUGUAAGUUUUUUUGCUUUUAGAAUUACCAAAUUGACAUAUACAUUUCUUUUCCUCCAAACCAAAUUGGCAUGUACAUUUCAUAUAUGCAUAUUUCUCAAACUUGGACCAUGACAGCCUAGUUCCUUUCUUUCCUUGUUCAAAGUUUUGACUGUUACCUUCACUUUCCAUCCCUAAGAAUAAUCAACACAAAUAAAAUAAUACCACAAUCAAUAAUUGGAAUUUACAAAGAAAAUAUAACAUUGUUUCAAAGCAUGACUCUUCUCUAGUACAUCACAUAACCUUAAAAACAAAAGGAGAAAUAAAAUCAACAAACAAAUUGAUAAAUUGACUACAAUACCACAAUCAAUACAUUGUUAAGGCUAAAUUAUCAUGCCUGAAAUACAAAUUACAAUCACAUAAAAAAGAAAACACCUUAAGAACUCAAACAUAAAUAACAAGAGUUGGCUAGUUAUUCGCAUUUCCUUGCCACUCAUUAUACAUUUGGAAAGCCAAGUCAUUCCUCCAAGUAGUCCAUUCAUCUGAUGCUCCAAUGGUGCCAACCAUAUCACCUUCUAUCACAUUUUCUGUCUCUUCAAUUUUAUUUAUUAAUAAAAAAACAUUCGUCUUUGAUCCAUAUCUAUUAAUCAAAAAAGAAAAGAAUUAUUGCACUUAAUCAAUCUUACUGAAAGUGAAAUAACCCCAAAUUGAAAACAAAUAGUUUCAUAUGCAAAUAGAAACAUAACAAUUAAUGCAAAGCCAUAAUUAAUACCAUUUGCAAAGUAUGGAAAAUUCACCUCAAAUGGACCAAAAAUUAUCAACAACUGUGCCUAAUAUCACAACAAAUAUGAAGAAAAAAGUUGUAGGAUUAUUUCACAGCUGGCCAAAAGAUGCUGCUGCUGCUGAUUAACACCAUGUUAUUUAUUACAUUUUCUUAUUUGAGAGGCCUAAACCAAUGCCAAAUUGGGAAAGGUUGAGGAGGUUCUUAGUUUAUAUGAGAGAGGGAGAGCUAGUGGGUGGAAACCAGACCCCAUUGCAUUUUCUAUCUUGGGUAAGAUGUUUGGUGAAGUUGGGGACUAUGAUGGCAUUAGGUACGUCUUGCAGGAAAUGGCUGGUAUUGGUGUGCAGCCUAAUUUGGUUGUGUACAAUACUUUGUUAGAGGCAAUGGGCAAGGCUGGAAAGUCUGGUUUAGCAAGAAGCUUAUUACAAGAAAUGGUGGGAUCCGGGAGAGAAAACAUAGGACGCAAAUUGCUUUGUCAAAUGACAGAUACAAUCAAUCACCGACAAUUGCAAACUCCAAAACUACAAAUCUUUCUCCAAAAGAAAAAGAAAAAAAAAGAGCAUGACUUUGCUUUGACAUGGCCAACGAAAAAAGAAGAAAACCAAAGAGGCCUCUAGCUUCAGUUUUAAUGAAGGCGAUUGGAGGUUGAUGAUUACGACAAUAAUUAAUCAUUGAAUUCAAUGGCUUUCUCAAGACUAAUGUCAGUGAAUACAACAGCCUACAACAACAGAAAAUAAGUAUAUGCCUAUACAAACCCAAAUAAAACUAUCACACUAGAAAAAAUACACUCGUGAAUUUUAAAUCCUUCUGCAAAAUAGAUAAUUACUUACGGGAUUCAUAAUUUUGAAUAUCUAACACUUGUUUGAUAACUAGAACAAAAAUUGCAAUUUCUACAGAGCUAAUACAACCAUUUGUAAUAGAUAUUUAGGAAAAUCAUCAGAACUAGAUUACUUUAAAAUGCUACCAACAGAAGCAAAAAUAGUUCACUAUCAAAACCCAACAGAAGCAAGGUAUUGAAACCAACAGGCAAAGGAUAAAUAGAUGCAGUACAAAUUGAAUCACCAAAUCAUCAACCAAGAAAAAAAAUUUGGCAAACUCCAAAACUACAAAUCUUCCUAUGUGUGAUCUUUUAGCACUAAAUCACCAACCAAGAAAAACUGAACCACAAGGAUGCAUCAUCUCACAUGAACCAGUAAGUUCAAUAAACUCAGGAUUCAUGCCAAAAGUCUAGUCUACUUAUGAAUUUCUAGGUUUUCUUAAAUACCUAAUUACAAAUUAAUGGCCAAUUAACAUCAAGUAUAUACAUAUUGCUACAGUAGAUAUGGUAUCUACGAAAAUUAGAGAAGAGAAGAAGAAAAUAACAGAGAAAAGGAAGGAGAGAUUCAAAGGUUUAGGUCAACAUUGUUGAGGACAAUUGCAAAAUUCAAAGAGGUGGAAGAAGGGAAUAAGAGAGGUUCUAAAGGGAAAGAGAAGAAAAACUUGCCUGGGUCAAGAUUCGAAGAAGAUGAGUCGAUGUUGAACGAAGGAGAGGUGGAGUCGUAGAUGCGGAGUCGCGAACCACAUCGAGAGGCGUGUUCAAUAUAGCGAAGGCUUAUUUUGCGAUUUUCAGUGUCUCUGUAUAAGGAGAAUGAGUGAAGGGUAUUUUUUACUAUUGGGCUAUAUAAUCCCGUUUAAAUUAGUCCCCUUUCUAACCAAACAUGGGCUUCAGGUCUAAUUUAGCACAGUCCUAUCUAGUGAGCCCUACCAAACAUGGCCUAUAGAUUUUAUUUCAACAAACCGAACUGUAUGUUUUCAAAUGUUCAUUCAUAUAGUUAGUUAAAUUAAAAAUUAUUAAGACAUUCAAUUGUGAUCAGUAAAAUAGACAAAAACAAGAGUAAUGCUAUUUAGAUACACAAAAUUGACCACCAAAAUUCAAAUUCAAAAUCAAAAUCCUCUGGUUUUGAUUGGGUUCUCUCUUUUUGUAAUUUUGUUGUUUUUCUUGAAUUCGAUCUCUUCUCUAGUAUAUCCAUAUCUCUUCCCUGAUUUUGAAGGGAUAGGUAAAUUUGAUUAGGAAGAAGGGAGUGUUAGAGUAUAUCUAUAUCUCUUCUCUGGUUUUGAUGGGGAUAGGUAAACUUGAUGGAGGAAGAAGGGUGUGCCGGAGACAAAAAAAGUCCAACUUUUUGUUUUGUUUUGUUUUAUUAUUUAUUUUUUAUAAUUUCACUUUUAUCUUUGUUUUUAAUAAUUAUUAAAAAAUAAAGAAAUAAAAAUAAAAUCCACAUAAUAAUAUUCAUUAAUUGACAUGACAUGACCACAUUAGCUGUCACAUAAGGUGGUCAGCUAAUUUGGUCAAUUUUAUGUGUCUAAAUAGCAUUACUCCAAAAACAAUGCUUCAAGAAAACAUUAAAAUAACAACCAUUUAAUUGAGUGAUUAAAUCGAAUUCAAGUGAAUUUUUGCAUAAAUAAUAUAUUUUGAGAAGGAGAAUUCAUUCAUAAAAUCACAGACGUACAAAAAGCAACAUGAUAUAGUGGCCUCGUUAAAACCUUCCUAGGACAACCUUAUGGGACAAAUCCCAGAGAAAGAAAGAGUGCCACACACGUCAUGAACUAAUAUGAGAAAAUACUUAAUGAAUAGACGAUUCGGAUCAUCAUAAUAUAAUGUAUAAUGAAUUCUACAAAGAUUCAUUGUAUUAUAAUGAUGUAGUUGAUCAUUUUUUUUUUUUUGAGGUCCUUUCCUAUUGAAAGGGGCGAUAGCAUAUUAAACUCACACACACAACACGGAUACUAGAACUCGAACCCAAGACGAUGUAGUUGAUCAUUUAUUGAAAUAACAUUUGACACAAGUCCAAAUCAAUAAACCUGUCAAAUAACUUGACCUCGAGCUUUUAGCAGUACGGAAAGGAGAAGCUUCUUUCCAAAUCCAAAGACGGUAUGAAAUUGAAUUGGUUCAUCAGUACAUCCUUAGAGAGUGGGUAGCACUGCACAUGCAUGCAUCCAAAGUAAAAGUAGCCAUUGAUGUUGCUACUUCAUUUUCAUGAAUUUCCACUCCACUAGUUAACCUUGGUGCGUCCAUCAACAAGGCAAUGCCCAUUUUCCAACCAACCAUAAAACAGGUACUAAUUUUUGCUGUAAAAAAAAAAAGGACAGUUGUGAAACAAAUUGGUUCACAUAAUGGGAUAAUUAACAUUGUGAGCAAUUUAAACCGAGAAAACUCUAUUUUGUGCUUUUAUCAACAAGAAUGUGUCUAUUUUUGUAAAUUUUUACAACCGAGAAAACUCUAACAAGAAUAUAAUAAUCAAUGCCGAUAUUUGGCAUUCCCGCAUUGUGUGCUUUUAUCAACAAGAAUGUGUCCAUUUUUGCAUAGUUUUUACAACUGAGAAAACUCCAACAAACACAAGACUAAUCAAAUGUUUAUAGUGAUCAAAUAAGGUCAAACAACAAAGUAUGACAUGUACCUAACACGAGCGGUGCUAAAUUUGUGAUACUAGGAAAAUUAAUGCAUAAAAUUAGGUAACUUAGCAUAGUAAAGGGAUGAUAUUAUUAUUAUUAUUAGGUAUAUUUGAGGGUAAUGUUGCAUAAUUUGGUUUUUAUGUAAUAAUCGAUGCCGAUAUUUGGCAUUCCCGCAUUGUAUGCUUUUAUUAACAAGAAUGUGUCUAUUUUUGCAUAGUUUUUACAACCGAGAAAACUCUAACAAACACAAAACUAAUAAUAUGUUUAUAGUGAUAAAAUAGGAUCAAACAACAAAGCAUACAUGUACCUAACACGAGCGGUGCUAAAAUUAGUCUCCCACAAUACAUCGAAGGUUAGAAUUCGUCCAUUCCAAUACAACUAACCAAGGAUUGAUCUACACUCCAGCCCAUUCCUGCUUUAGUAAAUAGGCUUAAAGUUGCAGUCUAACUUAGGAAUUUUAGAAACCAUUCUACCCCUCUAUACAUAAGUCAACCUAUCACUCUAUAUAAAAAGAAGGCUACCCACUUAGCCAUCUUUACACACAAGGAAUGGAUAAGGAAUCCACUAAGCCCAAAAAAACCAACGAAAAUAAUAGAACAAAAAUCUCCAACCAUCUAACCCAAAAAAAACAAGCCUCCAACUAGGAAGCAAGCCAAGCCAAACUUAAAAAAAAAAAAAAAAAAAAAAAAAAAAAACCUAAAAGCACAAGAGAACCAAAAAAGAAGUGACUCUCUUCCUCUCUAAAAUUGUAUCAACAUAUUUUCAAUGGGUUCUUCAAUCAUAGUAAGUUUGUCUCUUUAUUUUUAUUUAUAUUUAAAUUUAAAUUGUUAUUGUUAAGAUUUAAGAUUUAGGAUUUAUUUGUUAAAUUUUGAGUUUCGCUACACGCGUGAUAGGAAAUUAUUUUUAAAAAAUUGUAAAUCAUGCUACACACAUAAUAGGAAAAAAGUCUCCCGCGCUCCCGGUAGGGGUGGACUAAAUUUUUUGCUUAAAGCAACCCCUAGUAAAAUUCCUGGAUGAGGCCUCGCAACUAACCCUAUCAUUCUUCCACCUACAAACACUACUAUGAAGUCAGAAGAGAGAGAAUCAAUCAAGAGCAGACAAAGGGAUGGGCAAUUUGGAUCUGCCAACAAUGGCUAAUUGGGUGGGCGGUUCAGCCCAGACUAACCAAGGCAAGAAAUUUGGCCCAACCUAUCUGGGCAUAAAUUCAUGCAAAUAAAUAAAGGUUCUUGACCAAAAUAAUAGUAAUAAUAAUAAUUCAAAACACAGCCCCUUCAUUUUAAAAGAAUAAAUAGGUUUUUUUUUUUUUUUUUAAAAAAGAAGGGGUUCAAAGGGUAUAUUAUAAUUUAUUGUCUUGAUUUCAAAACACAACCCCUUCAUUUAUUUUACGUGACAUUUUGUUCUAAUUACAGUCACCAUCAAAGCUCAUAACCUCUCAACAAAUCCAAGAAAAAGAAAAAGAGAAAAAGUCUUAAGUAAAUUUAGAUGAAUACACUGGCAUUUGUAACAUCUUAGUCAUUGAUUUUGAGUGUUGCUUCCGUUAAAAGUAUAAAAGACGGUCAGUUGAAAUGGUAUAAAUAGUUUUAUAUCAACUCAUGAUGUUGCGAGUAUUUGAAUAUAUGACUACUUAAACCAUUCAUACAUGAUAAAAUUCAAUUAUACUAGUAUGUACAUUUCUAUGUAUAGGGUGUUGAUUUUUCCACUCCCCUUUUGUCCACUUACACUGCCUUUCGUUUUUUAAUACUUUUUACUAUAACAUUAUGGGAGUGUGAAGUGGACAAAAGUGAAGUGAGAACAUACAACUUCCAACAAAGGGUAUGUAAGUGGAUAAAAGAGGAGUGAGAAAAUCAACUCCCUAUAUUUAAAGAGUAAUUUCAUUUAAAUGAUGAUAGAUGGUGGAUGAGGCAGAUUGAUGAGAAUGGAGGGGGAAAGAUGAUAGGAAGGGCGAAAGAGAUGAAGGAGAAGGGCAUAAAAGUAGUGGAAUUGGAAAGGUCCCCUACGCCUCUCCCACUUCAUCUUUGUUUUCUACAUCAAGGCUUUAAUUCCACCUCUCUUGGUACAAAGUUCAAGUCUCCCUGUGCUGCAUAAACUGAACCCUUUUGUUUUUUUUAUUUUUGUUUCGUUUUUUUGGUCGAUGCUUUUUUAUUUUAUAAUAUUUUAUUUUAAAUUUAUGUGUCCAUUUAAAAUCUCAAAAUAUAUAGCAAUGUACACUUUCCAACCUACACAUGCAGUUUCAUGGUAAGGUUAAAUUUACAAUAUUUGAACAUCUCUUGCUUUCUGUACAAGAAAUCAAACUGAAGGCUAUACAAUUUCUGGUUACAAAAAGAUCUUUAAAAAAAAUAAAAAAAGACAAUCAAGGCCCGUCGUUACCAUCCUUAAUCAAAUUGCAAAUAUCUUAGCACUCCACCAAACUGCAAGAAAUCCAAUUUCUCAAAGAAUCAGAGUGAAGAAAACAGAAUUGAGAAUUCAGAGUUGCAACUCAAGUAAAAUAUAAAUAUUAUGUCAACAAUGCAAGGAAACUAUUAUGCCAAAAUAGAAAGAAAACAGAAAUAAGAGAAGCUCUGCUUCUCAAGUGACAUUUGGGAUAAGAACAAAACUAUAUAUCUGUGGCCAGUGGCAUCUCAGAAGAAUGAGCAAGCAGCAUGUUGCAUAUACAAGGACAAAUUCAAUGGUUGUGCAUCAACUUGGCUUGUAAUUGAUUUUUGAACAAGUAUCUUGCUAAAAUAUGAAAACUAUGAGAGAAUAUUUGUUUUGUGGGAAUUUUCUGUGUAUUCUUCUUUUUGUAGGAGGUCAUAUUUAUAAUACAACGAAACCUGAAUGGGCAAGUAAAUAAUAAAUUCCUAAAUCUAUUUACAGUAGGAAAUCAGGAUUUAAAGUAAAUCAAUUACAAUUAUAAUAGGAAUUCUUGGUGUGUAAGGAAAGUAAGUCAAUAUCCACAAGUCACACCAACACUCCCCCUCACGUUAGUGCAUAGAUGUCGCCAAUGCCCAACUGAUCCAGUGAAUUGUGGAAUGCUUUACUGGAAAUCGCCUUUGUCAAAAUAUUCGCCAAUUGAUCCUCGGAUUUCACAAAAGGAAACUGAAACACUUUAGCCUCAAGCUUCUGUUUGAUGAAGUGUCGAUCCACCUCAACAUGUUUAGUACGAUCAUGCUGAACCGGAUUCUGUGCAAUGGCUAUAGCAGCCUUGUUGUCACAAAAGAGAUUCAUUGUGGAUGUAGGUUUAUACCCAAGUUCAGCAAGCAACUUUCUUAACCAAAGAAGUUCACAAAUCCCUUUAGUCAUGCCUCUGAACUCGGCUUCUGCACUGGAUAAAGCUACUACAUUCUGUUUCUUGCUCCUCCGUGUCACCAAAUUACCUCCCACGAAUGUGAAGUAACCCGAUGUGGAUUUUCUAUCUGUUACAUUACCUGCCCAAUCUGCAUCUGAAUAACCAUCAAUAUUUAGAUGACCAUAUUUUGAGAACAUAAGUCCUUUUCCAGGUGCAGACUUCAAAUAUCUAAGUAUCCGAAGAACUGCAUUCAUGUGGUCUUCACUUGGAGAGUGCAUAAAUUGACUGACAACGCUCACCGCAUAAGCAAUGUCUGGUCGAGUAUGUGACAAAUAGAUCAAUCUUCCCACUAACCUUUGGUAUCUUUCUUUGUUAGUUGGAACUUGAUCCGGAUAUUCUCCAAGAUGAUGAUUCUGAACAAUAGGAGUGUCCGCAGGUUUACAAUCUAGCAUUCCUGUGUCUGUCAACAAAUCCAAGACAUAUUUUUUUUUGAGAGAGAAAUAUGCCUUGCUGCGAUCGAGCCACCUCAAUUCCCAAGAAAUAUUUGAGUCCACCUAAAUCCUUAAUCUCAAACUCCGUAGCUAGAUAGUCUGGUAGCUGUGAUAUUUCCUGUUUAUCAUUCCCAGUAAUAAUCAUAUCAUCAACAUAGAUUAUUAAUGUUAUUACCUUCCCUUUUCGAUGUUUCAAGAACAGAGUAUGAUCUGAGUUGCACUGUUUGAAACCAUUGUUCUUCAUUGCCAUGGUGAACCGUCCAAACCAUGCACGUGGUGACUGUUUCAAUCCAUACAAUGCUUUUCGUAACCUGCAAACUGUUACAAUCUGAGUAGUAUUAUAUCCAGGAGGAAUGUCCAUGUACACCUCCUCCGUGAGUUCGCCAUGUAGAAAAGCAUUCUUUACAUCAAACUGGUGUAGUGGCCAAUCCAAAUUAGCUUCAAGGGACAAUAAGACUCUGACGGUGUUUAACUUUGCAACUAGAGCAAAAGUUUCUUCAUAGUCUAUACCAUAGGUCUGUGUGUACCUUUUUGCAACAAGUCUUGCCUUGUAUCGCUCGAUAGAUCCAUCUGCAUUGUGUUUUAUAGUAAACACCUAUCUACAUCCGAUAGUCUUUUUUCCUCAGGGUAUAGUCUCCAAUGUCCAAGUUUGAUUUUUCUCAAAAGGUUUCAUCUCCUCUUUUAUAACUUGGACCCACUUAGGAUCUUUCAAUGCUUCAGAGACCUUGGUUGGAAUAUGGAUAGCAGACAACUGAUGUACAAAAGCCUUGAGUGGUUCAGACAGCUUCUCAGUAGAUACAUGAUUUGUAAUUGGAUACUUGGAUGUCUUGCCAAUAUCAGGUGAAUAACGGUUUAGUGGCUUCCCACGAUUUUGCCUGAAAGGUAAUUGAUAUCCAAUAGUUUUAUCAUCUAAAUGCACAAGUCUAGUAGGAGUAGUUACCUCAAGGAUAUUCUCAGGAGAUUGGUUUGUUGGUACUGUUGAGUUAGAGGGGGGUCUUCUUGUUGUUGUUCUGUAUUGUUUGUAGGUGUGAGACUCGGAUCAGAAAUAUCUUCGCAUGGAUCAGGUGGGUCAGGCAAUUGAUCGCUAUGAAUGGGCCAUUGGUCGCUUUUCAACAUAGAGUAAUCUCGUGCUCCAGACUUAGGAUAUCAAUCAUUUCUGUACAGAGGAGAAUUUCUUUAUUUUCCAAGUUGCUCCAAUUCUGCUUUUCACUUCAUAUCUCUCCCUGAAGUGUAGAAUUGGAUGAUGGGUCAUGGAAGAACAACUCAGAUUCCAGAAAGGUCACAUCCAAAGUGAUAUAGGUUCGAUGAGUAGGAGGGUGAUAAUAGCGGUAACCCUUCUGAUGAGUGGCAUAACUCACAAAAACACAACGAAGCGCACAGGGAUCAAGUUUGCUACGUAUAUUUUUGUGGAGAUGAACGAAAGUCACACAUCUAAGGAUUCGGGGUGCGAGUACCAAAAUAGAGGGCAGAGGUCUGUGUUGCGCAAGCACCUGUAAGGGAGUUUUAAAGGUCAAUACACAAGAAGGCAUGCGGUUGAUCAGGUGAACUACGGUGACAAUAGCGUCAUCCCAGUGAUGGCGAGGAACAUGAGUGCCAAUCAGAAGUGCUCGGGCGGUUUCAAGAAGAUGUCGAUUCUUUGGUUCAGCAACACCAUUUUGUUGCGGUGUCUGAGGACAAGUCGUUUCAUGGAUAAUUCCAUGUUGUUGGAAGUAAGUCUGAAAGUCAUGAUUGACAAAUUCUCCACCAUUGUCUGAGCGAAGAAUUUGGAUUUGAGCAUUAAACUGAGUUUUCAUCUAUUUGUGGAAGGACUGAAAACUGAAAAACACUUUGUUUUUAUUCUUCAGCAAAUAAUGUCAUGUCAUCCGUGUACAAUCAUCGAAUGAAUGUGACAAACCAUCGAAUACCAGAAGGAGUAGUGAUAGGCGAAGGUCCCCAAACAUCAGAGUGAAUUAACGUAAAUGGAGUAGUACACUUGUUCGUACUCAACGGGUAGGGCACACCAUGACUUUUGGCCAAAAUACAAGUAUUACAUGUGAAGUCGGAGUCCUUGAAACCUAAGAAUAAAUUUGGUAUAAGAUGCUUCAUAUAACUAAAAGACGGAUGUCCCAAUCGACGGUGCCACAACUAGAUUUGCUUUUGUUUGCUAUCAAAGGGAUGUGUCACACUGUUAGCCACGCCGGGACUGAAGUCAUCGACAUAAUAUAGCCCUUCUUUCUUAGUACCACGACCAAGAAUCUCCUUAGUGUGAAUAUCCUGAAGCAAACAAAAACUCGGGUAAAUAAGUACACAACAAUUCAAUUGUUCAGUAAGCUGACUAACUGGCAACAAUUUAGUGGAUAAAGAUGGAACAAGUAAAGUAUUAGACAGUGUGAGAGAGGAUGAGAGUGUAACAGUGCCAGCCCCUGUCACAGGAUAAGUAACACCAUUGGCAUUUGCAAUACAGGUUCGUCGAGGUUGUGUAGUAUUCAGAAAAUCAUCAGGAUCAAACGUCAUAUGAUCAGUUACACCGGAAUCAAUUAUCCAGCUCCUGGAAUUAAUCUUAUUGGAAGUAUGGAAUCCAUAACUAGUACCAUUACUGGUGCAUUGUCCUAAAUCUGUAAGAGUAGCCCACCAAUCGGGGUAGCCAUGCGAUUUAAAACAAGUCUCACAAGUGUGUCUCGGAUCACCACAAUAUGAGCAAUCUGGUCCACGUGUCGGGGUCGUUAGUCUAAAAGUCAUAAUCUGUGUAGCGGAAGAUGCAUAUGAUUCAGGUUGAGUAGAAAUUUGGAUCGGAAUCUGAGCCUGAGUCGGGGCCGGAGUCGGAGUCGAAAUCGGGAUUGGGGUCUGAAUCAGAGACAAAUUCGGGGUUGGGGCCAUUAUCGAAGUGGGGGUCGGGGUCGUUUUCGAAGUCGGGGUCGGGGUCGUUGUCGUCAUAGUCGGGGUUGGGGUCGGGGUCGUCACAAGAGGAUCCUGAUUCUGGAUUGGGUUCGGGGUCAAAGUUUGUAUAUGUAGGAGCGGAGCCAUCUGGGCACUCAACUUAAUGAUGGUUGGUUGAGAAUGAGAUAAGGAGUCGGUGGUGCUACUUCCAUGAGGGUUGAAAAAAUCAUCAACCCCCAUAGCGACGGCGGGGGUUUGAAACUAGAGUCAGCAAUUCCAAGAUUGCCGCUCUGAUACCAUGCUAAAAUAUGAAAACUAUGAGAGAAUAUUUGUUUGUGAGAAUUUUUUGUGUAUUCUUCUCCUUGUAGGAGGUCAUAUUUAUAAUACAAUGAAACCUGAAUAGGCAAGUAAAUAAUAAAUUCCUAAAUCUAUUUACAGUAGGAAAUCAGGAUUUAAAGUAAAUCAAUUACAAUUAUAAUAGGAAUUCUUGGUGUGUAAGGAAAGUAAGUCAAUAUCCACAAGUCACGCCAACAUAUCUCUACAUGUAUUGAAGCGAUGCUAAUGAGAAUAGUAUUGUUGAGUGCCAAGCAUUUAAAGGCAGCAAGGAAAAGUAGGGAGGGAUAAUAAAAAAUACAUGGCGUUCACAUGAUAAUAACGUCCAAACGUCCAAACAUCCGCAUAGGAAAAUUUUUGUGUACAGUUAUUAUAUUUAUAUAUAUAUCUAUAUAUAUAUAUAUAUGCAAAACCAAGUAAAAGUAGAAAAGAGCAACUUUCUUGAAUUAAUUAUUGCUUGUUUUUUGUUUUGUUUUUUUUUUAAAAGAAGGUCAAAACAUGUAAUUACUCUUUCUUUUUUUCCAAUAAACUAAUUUCUUUGAGCUUAGUGUUAAAAGAUCAUUUUCGGCAUAUGACAAAGAUCACUUUCAGCAUAUGUAUAUCUGGGACUUUUUCCAUUACGAAGUGAAACUGUGCAGAGUCGAUGCGGAGUUCUAUUUGUGACCGUUAGAUUACUUUUACGCUACAGGUUUAAAACUUGACUGAGGAAACUCAUUUUCUCAUCGCGGUAAAUUUCAAAGUUUUUCAGUCUUUCCGUCAUAGCCAAAAUUUCCCGCGCUUACACCUCCAAUCCAUUAACCUCUAUUUCUUUCUUCCACCACAACACCUUCUCUUCAUUGUGCUUUCAUCCCUGGCAAUAUCAUAGCUGCUCCUCUAGGUUAUAAUAUUUUUAUUUCUUCUUUUGAACACCUUCUCUUCCGUGUGCUUUCAUCCCUGGCAAUAUCAUAGCUGCUCCUCCAGGUUAGAAAUUUUUUUAUCUCUUCUUCUUAUUAUUAUUUUUUUGCUUUAUGAUAUAUGGGUAUUUCCAUUUUGUUUAUACAACGUUUUCUGAUUUUCUUAUGGUAUGUGAUUGUUUACUAAAAAGAUUUGGGUUUCGUUGAAAAUCACAAAGGUUGGAAUCGGAAAAACAGAAAGCGAUGGUCUUUGUUUUGUAUAGUUUUGGCUAAGUUAUUCUAUUUUGUUUUUUGGUUGAAAGUUUAUCUAAUUUAGGUUUGAUAUGUACUUACGAGUUUGGCUUUUGGUUUAAGCAUUGCUGCAGUGUUCUUUGCUAUUGUUUACCAAUAUCCCAUUGACCAAUAUUUUUGUUAUUUUUUGCUUUAAUAGAUGAAAAUUUAGAGAUGGAAAGCCCAUAAGGACUCGAGACAUAUGAAUUUAUGGAAGAUAAUAAUGAAAAUAAUUCAGAAUUAGUUUUCAAUCCUCAAGUAGAAAACCAGCAUGUACCAAAAAUUGGUCAAGAGUUUGAAUCACUUGAGGAUGCCUAUAACUUCUAUAACAACUAUGCAAAACAAGCGGGAUUUAGUGUUUGAAGUUAUUGUCAGCAAAGGAGUAAAACUGCUAAUGAGAUCUUAAGAAAAGAAUAUGUGUGCUACAAAGACGGAGUAUAUUCCAAAGAAGUUUCUAAUGGAAGUGAAAGGUGGUGAGGUGUAGUACGAAGUGGGUGUAAGGUUAAGAUUGCGGUUCUGAAGACAAAAGAAGGAACAACACAUCAACAAUUUAGUCUUCUUGAAAUGCAAGCAGAUUGGAUAUACAAAGAAAGAUUUAUAUAACUACAAAAGACAAUUGGAGAGAAAGAUGAAGGGGCAUGAUGCAGAGAUGUUGCGUGAGCAUUUUAUUGUUGAGCAAGCAAAAAAUAAAUCAUUCUUUUUUCUGAUAGAGGCUGACGAUGAUGAUAGGCUUAAACAUUGUUUUUGGGCUGAUCCAACAUCUAAAAGAGCCUAUAAGUUUUAUGUUGAUUGUAUUUGAUACCACAUACAAUACUAAUCGAUAUGGUAUGGUAUUUGCCCCAUUGGUAGGGGUUAAUAACCAUGGUCAAACUAUUCUUUUUGGUUGUGGGUCCUUGUGCAAUGAGACCACUAAGUCUUUUCUUUGGUUGUUUGAGCAAUUUAAGAAAGCUAUGCCUACUGGUCCACCCACAGAUCAGGAUUCAGCCAUGGAAAUGCUAUUUCACAAGCUUUUCCAGGUGUGUUUCAUAGAUAUUGCAUUUGGCACAUUUUGGAUAAAUUUUCUCAAAAGAUAAACACUUGCAUUUUUUAGGAUGAAAAUAGAGAACUUCAAAGUUGUGUGUGGAAAUCAUACACAAAGGAAGAAUUUGAGUCAAAGUGGAUGGAUGUGGUCCACAAAGGUAAACUAAAUGAUGAUGAGUGGCUAUCUUCAAUCUAUAGAAUACGUUCAAGAUGGGUGUCAAUAUAUGUGAAAGAUAUUUUUUUUAGCAGGAAUGUCGAGUAGCCAAUGAGUAGAGGGUGUUCAUGCAUUUUUCAAGCUAUAUAUUUCAUACUACAGUUUAAUAGGACGCUUGCCCAGCAACGUCAUGAAGAGAUAAUUGCUGUUGAUAUUAAUGAGCAGCCUAUGUUGAAUCUCCAUUGAUAAUGGAGAAGCAAAUGACUGUGAUGUCUACAAGUUUCAAAAAGAGUUGUGGAAAUGUUUGGCAUGUGUACUUCAACUUGCGAAAGUGGAUGACAAUUUAUGCUUUUAUAAGGUAAUGGAGAGGAAAAAAGAUGGUAAAGGUGCGAGAAGUCAUGGUUGACAAAGUUGCAAACUAUUCUUCAUGUAUAUGUAAGAAAUUUGAAUUUGAAGAAAUCUUGUGCAGGCAUGUGUUGACAUACAUGAAAAUGAAACAAAUUGAGUAUUUGCCAAAUAAAUAUAUAUUAAAGAGAUGGACAAGAGCUGCAAAAUCUGACGUAGUUGUGGAAGAGGGUGGAGGGGAAAUAACUGAGUGUGGAAGAUUGUCUAAACUUGCUUUUGAGCUUAUUGAUGGUUCCUUGGUAUCUCAAGAGGCAAGUAAAGUUCUACUAGAAAAUAUAUAAUUUCUUAUUUCUUAUGAAGCUGAAAUUUUGUACUUGUAAGUUGUACCCACAACAUCAAUUAUUGUUGUAGCUUAAAUUCCUUUGUCUUGUAAUGGAGUCUUGGGAUCAUCUAUUUCAAUCAUUUCUCUGUUCAUAUCUUUUCCAAACUUUUGAAGAUAUCCUAUAUACAGACUUUGCAAAUCAUCCAAAGAAGGCAUGACUCUUCGAAUCAUAUCAGGAGAUCAUAGUUAGCUUCAGUAUCCCCCAUCUGCAAAUGAAAUAUAGUCAGUAAUUGUAAACAUCAGGUAAAUAACAGAUCACCCAAGGUCAUAUAAAAAAAUCCUACCCAGCACUACAACACCUCACCGAACUGAAAACGAAACAAAAAUGAGCCAAGUUUAUACGAAGACCAAGUAAAAGCCAAACCCAAAUCGGCGGCGAGGAUAUCCCUAUAAAAAGAAAUAGAAAAUCAAUGUAGACAAGAAGGGAAAUGACGUAUUGCAUAUGCAGAGUCACGUAUAGCAAAUGAUGAGAGCAUCGGAUGAAAUCAUAGGGAAGAGAAGGUGUUAUGGUGAAAAAAAUAAAUAGAGCUUAGUGGAUUGGAGGUGUAAGCGCUGGAAAUUUUGGCUCUGACAAAAAGACUGAAAAGUUUUGAUAUUUACCACGAUGUGAAAACGAGUUCUCUCAAUCAAGUUUCAAAUCUACAGCGUAAAAGUAUUCUGACGGCCACAAAUAGAACUCUGCACAGUUGCACUUCGUAACCGAGAAAGUCCUUGUAUAUGUUACCUCCAACGUUAAAAACGUUAUUAACAUUUUGAUUUAUUAGGGAAGUGCAAGGCACUUGGCUAAUUACUUUCGGACGCGCGCAUGCCCUAAAUUGAAAAGGAGCAACUUUCUUCAAUUAAUAAAACAAGUUGGCUUUUGUCCCAAAACAUAAAGAAAGUUAGAUUGAAUGUAAAAACAAGAAGUAAGAAGAAAAAGAAGGAGAAUUUGACAAGUACUUUUCAAAAGCGGAAUCAAAAAUUUUCAUAAGUGCCUCGUUUAUUAUCUGCGAAUGGUUUAGCUGGUUUUUAUUUUUGAAAGUUGCUUAAGCGGAAUGAGCCCUUUUUUUUUUCUUCUUUAAAGCUGUGGAAUGAGUUAAGUUUUACUGAAAUAGAAUAGAAUAAUUUCCACCGAAUAUAGGAUGAACUUCCGUAAAUAUAACAUGAAGUUUCUAUUUUCUAAAAAAAUUUACACUCUAGAAUCUAGAAGGUGGUUUUCAAACGAUCUCAUGCAGGUCAAUGACAAAGGACUAAGGAUUUCGACCAAAAAAAGAAUUAAGGAUUGGCAUAUAUAGGCCUUUCCCAGAGUAGAAAAAGACGCAAUGAAUUGACGACAAGCACAAGGCCUUGACGCAUGUUACUCGCUGACUUGAAUGACUCUUCGCAUAAAGAAAAGUAGACUAUUAGUAUGUUAUUUUGUAGACAUUAUUGGACGCUAAUUUAUAAAUACACAGAAUAAUAUUCUCUCACCAAAUUUAAAUCCAAAACUGCCCGAACAUGCAAACCUCAGCUCAUAGUUGACAAGCUUAAAUUUGAGAAUAUCUUAAUUAAUAUCCUUUUAGUAAUGUACGGAUCCGUUUCACUAUAUUGUUGACAUAAAUUUUCAAUCAUUAGAUUGAAAUGGAUUGAAUGGCUAAGAUUAACUAAAUUAAUUAUAUAUUUUUAAAAUAUAUAUAUUAAAAAUAAUUAUUAAUUGACUUUUUCUUUCUUAUUUCUCUAUUCUCAAUUAUUGUUUGAUCAAAUCUUCCUAUUUCGUCGUUCUCUAUCCUCUACAAUUCUUCAGGUAAUGACUUUUCCAUCAUCCUCCUCUUUCUUCUAAGGCCCCAUUUGGUUCACGGAAUGGAUUUGAGGGGAAAUAAUUUCCCAUGUCAUUUCCCAAAGAAUGAGAAUGAAAGAUUCCUUUCCCAUGUUUAGUAAUGUCGAGAAAAUAACCGGGAGAUUUCACUUUAUUUCCUUUCUCAUGUUUGUUUUGAGUAGGAAUGAAAAAUAAAGUUUGUAUAAUUUUUCAAUUAUACCCAUAUUAAAUCAAAUAAAAAAAAUGCAUUUAAUGAUACGUUGUAAUUAUAAAUUGUUCAUAGGGACAAAAUAGUCAUGAAAAUUGUGCAUUGAAUGUUGGCUCAUUUUUCCAAACUUUCCCAUGAGGAAGGAAAACAAAACCCAAGUUAAGAGGAGGGCUUCACUUUCCCCCCUACUUUCCCAUGUGCCAGGCAACCAUUUCCCAUGUCUGGACUUACCAAACAUGGGAAAGCAAUUGAAUUCCCAUUCCCAAGCCUUCUUUCCUAUGAAUCAAACGGGGCCUAAAGGUAAACUGUCUUUUCCAUAUAUUUUUUAAUAUUAUUAUUAAUCAUAUUGAAUAAAAGCUAAAUCUUGUAAGCCAUUAAGAUGUUAGAAAAAAAAAACAGAGAGAGAGAGAGAGAGAGAGAGAGAGAGAGAGAGAGAGAGAGAGAGAGAGAGAGAGAGAGAGAGAGAGAGAGAGAGAGAGAGAGAGCAACACAGAGUUAGACCAACCAAACCUUAGAGAAGAAAUAUUGCAACAAAUGUGGGCUUUUUCUUUUUUGGUUAAAUACUAAUAUCAUAUUUUCUCUUCAAUAUUGGUAGGCUUAUUGAGACCGUUUUUCUAUGUCGUGGGAGAAUGCUCGGUUGGUGUAGAUGUCAAUGACAAGGGGAAGGUAAUUGUGAGGUUUCCCAGGAUAUUAAUUGAGAAGUGAGAAAAUGAUAAGAAAACAAAAGGAGGAAAGAUAAUUGAGUGAUUUUCAUGAUUAUCAUAACUAAUGAAUAAAAGUGAAAUUUACUUGGCAUUAGAGAUUUAAUUUAAUUUAAGUAAUUAAUGAAAUAUAAUCUCAAUCAUUUAAUUCAUUAUAAUCUAAUGGUUGAAAUUUUGUGUCAAAAAUAUAGUGCCACAGAUCCGCUCCCUAUAUAUGUAUCCCCUUUUAUCUAGGGAUUCCUAAAAUAAUUUUAUUUGAGGGACACCUUUUAGGGUUCUGUACAAUUUUUUUUUCAAUGUUCCAAAAUAUCUAUUUUUCAAGUGUUCAUUCUUAAAUCAUCCUUGCAAAAAAUGAGGCAAAUUGAAAAUUAAGACAUCUAAUUUGGACAAACAAAAUAGACUAACACGGUAAUUCAAGAAAAGACUAUAAUAACAACCAUCUAAUUGAAUGGUUAAAUGAUUUUGGAUUCAAGUGAUGAUUUGCAUAGAUUAUUUUUGUAGGAACAUCUAAAAACUAGACGGUUUUUAUUAUUGAAAUACAAUGUUUAAUGUACCAUGUCCAUACACUAGAAAAAGUCAUGGCCAGCGGUGCUUGGUAACAAUAUCCAAAUUUACUAAAAAAAAUGCAGGUGGCAUAAUAUCCCCACAUUUCCAUUUUAAAAAAGAAAAGAAAAAGAAAAAGCAAGUUUUGUUAGCGAGAUCCUAAACUAAUUAGGACUCUAUUUCUUUCUUUUUGUACAGAUAUUGUAUAAUUAGUAUUUUAUCUUAUUUCCUAGUUUGACCAUACUAGGGUUACAUCCUUGUAUUAAAUACCUCAUUUUGGAGAAUGAAAUACAACAUGAAAAUAUUAUACCCAUAUUGUUUGACUUGGUAUCAUAGCCGAGUUUCUGGUAACCUAUGUAUUGUGCCCACUCGUGUUCUACUGUAUGCCUUAAUUUUUUUAAGGGUUUUCUCUUGUGCCCGUGCCUGUGCCUGUGCCUGUGUCGUGUUUGUCGUAUCUACUUCGCGUUGUGUUUCCACUGCUAUCAUAGGUGAUGAUUCCAAACUUGUGGCGCGUUCUAGUUCUUCUGAAACGAAGUAGAUUGAAUUAAUGGAAAAAAGACAGCUCCGUCUCCAAACUCCGCUACCUAUGUCGAAUGGGAAAAAGAUAACUGCUUCUGUCACAUUCUGGGAUUGGCUCAGUCGUAGCACGAUAUUGUCUGCUUUGGGCCCCCUUUCUGUCAUCACGGUUUUAUUUUUGGGAACUCACGAGCAACUUCCUAGUGGGUCACCCAUCUGCUGUAGCCUCAACUAGCUUAACUUUGGAGUUCCCAUGACUCCGAAGCCAGUGAGCUCCCAAAAGGCCUCAUGCUAGAUGGAGGCGGGCAUGUACAUAUAAGGUACAUCACCCCUUCUCCGUUGGUUGAUGUGGGAUGUUACAAUCCACCCCCCUUAGGAGCUUGACGUCCUCAUCAGCACACUCGCACCACACGACAGAGUGGCUCUGAUACCAAAUUGUUACAUCUCGAGAUCGGCUUCGCCGUAGCACGAUAUUGUCCGUUUUGGGCCCCCCUCUAUGCCAUCACGGUUUUGUUUUUAGGAACUCAAGAGCAACUUCCCAGUGGGUCACUCAUCCUGGGAUUGCUCUAGCCUCAACUCGCUUAACUUUGGAUUUCCCAUGACUUCGAAGCCAAUAAGCUCCCAAAAGGCCCCAUGCUAGAUGGAAGUAGGCAUGUACAUAUAAGGUACAUCACCCCUUCUCCGUUAGUCGAUGUGUGAUGUUACAGCUCGGUGCAGUCAUGGCUUCUCAAUUCCAUGACUAAACCCAUUUGUGCCUUGUUCAAACAUGGUACUACUGCUUUUGAUAUAUGGGAGGCUGCUAGGAAGACCUAUAUUGUGACUCAGAAUAGUUCUCAGUUGUUUCAACUCUGACGGCAGUCCAUACUUACAUGUCAUAAUGGUAAAUCUGUAAAAGUGUUUUAUGAAAAACUCCAUGCGAUAUGACAGGAGAUUAAUUGUCUGCAUCCAAAUGAACUUAGUUGUUCUAUUGAUGUGGCUCGUUAGAAAGAGAUUGAAGUCGAUCGAGUUUGUGAUUUUCUUGGAGGACUUGAUGUGAAACCCUGUAUUUUUAAUAUAUAAUUAUCUUGGUUAAAUAUAUAAAUAUAUAUAUAUAUUGUUUUAUAUACUGCUCUAAUAAAUAUUAAUAUCAUCAUAUUACAUAUAUACUUAUCCUAUUAUAUAUAUGUAUUUGUUUUAAAAUAGAUCUUGUUAAUACGUGUCAAAGUACAAAACCUAUUGAGUAUCAAGGCUAUCAACUCACCAAGAAGAUAAGAAUAGGAUUAGAGGGAUUGGAAGAGUCACAAAAACAUUCUUCCUUAUCUGCAACUACAUUGAUAACUAUUACUUGGACAGUAAGUUUGUAUCAACCGCCGAUAAACCAUUCAAUAGGAAAUCACGUCCUGCCGACUUGGUACUUGUAUAAAUAGGAUGUUUCCUUUGGUUUUGAAAGCAUUUAACAUUGCAUGAAAUUUUUGGAAGAGAUAUAGGACUUGGCUUGUAUUUUCUUAACUUGGAGAAAUGCUUUGGAAUCGAGGUAGGGAUUUCUUGGGAGCCUUUAUGGGGAUUGAUCUAAUUAAAUUUUGUGAGCACUAUAUUAUGCGUGAUAUGAUUAUAUGUUAUUGGUGAUGGCUGGAAUUCUUGGGUUGAUAAAGAAAGUAUGGAAAAGAGGGUAAUGGGAAGGAUCUUUUGUGUAGUUGAGUCUAACUCUUGGCAUGUACCAGGUUUCAGGGAUCCCACAGUACACAUGAUUUUUAUUGGGUGAUUCGGGACUGGUGAAAGGGAGUUAGACAAGAUGACUAACAAAAGGGGAAUUACGGGAUAGUUGAAAUGGGUGUUAGUUCAUAUAAAUGGGCAUUCGGGACCAAGUGGUAUAAGCAUGGUAUGGGACGUGCAGGUCUGCUUGUCCAGUUAUAUGAAUUAACGGGAUUAUAUUUGAAGAGCAUUCAUGCAUUAUUAUUAUUAUUAUUAUUAUUAUUAUUAUUAUUAUUAUUAUUAUUAUUAUUAUUAAUGUGAUAUUUGGUUGUGUGAUUGCAUGUCACUUAAUUUAGUUAUAUCAAUCUACUGUGGUAAGGUCUCAUGUCCCUACUAAGCUGUGGUUGCUCAUCCCUCACCCUAUUUAAUUUUUCAGAUGAAUUAGUGGGCAAGACAAUGACUAAACCAGUUGAGGUUGAAUUAGAUGAGAGUAAUAGAGUUGUAUUUAUUUAUUGUAAAGUUGUAAGAUUUUGGGAGCUAUUUUUAUAAAAGAAGUUUAUUUUAAACCCAUUGUUUCGACUUCUGUAUCUUUUUAUUUUAGUUUUUUUUAUUUUCUCACGUGCCGGGCGUGGGGUUUUCACCUACCCCUAAGUCUGGGGCGUGACACUUAAUCCGUAGUAUAAUGGUGUCUGUGGCAGAAUUCUUGCUCUCAAUCCUGUCUCGCCUCUUCUAGAAGCUUAUGUCAUGGUUAUGGAGGAAAACACUCGUCAGUCUACUAUGCUCGGGGGAGGUGCGAUGGCCCUAAAAAUGGAUCAUGCUUGUAACUGACCGAUCACUCGUCCUGAUACGACCGGUCGCCCGUCAUCUCACAAGCCCGCAUCUUCCAAUGGUUCUUGUCCUUUUGAAGGUCAUCGUAAGUGUCGUCAUUGCAAUGGUGAUCAUUAAUCUGAAAAGUGUUUUCAAGAGCAUGGUUACCCUAAUUAGUUUGCUGACUACAAAACUCGUAUGUAUAGUCCCAAGGCCGCUUGCACUAUGACCCAAGACAAGGCCAAUCCUCAGGCCCCGUCUGCAAAAUUUGUGUUCUUCUGAGACUAUGCCAGGUAUGGACUCCAAUACUCGGAUAAUUGACACUGAUGCUUCUGAUCAUAUGACUUGUGAUAUUAAUCUGUUUGAUGAGUUGUCUCGUACCCUUCAUGACCCCUAUAUUAUUAGUGCUAAUGGUUUACCUUCCCACGUUUCCGGUUAAAGUACCAUCCACCUUACCCUUUCUUUACCCUUAUCUCAUGCACUCUUGGUUCCAAAUAUUUGUUACAAUUUAUUAUCUAUUGGUCAUUUGCUUGACACAUUUAAUGCGUCUACUACUUUCUAUCAUACCCAUUUCUCUUUUUAAAAUCUUAAAACUCACGAGAUGAUUGGAGUUAGUAAAUAAAUAGGGAGGUUGUAUUACAUAACGUUACCAGCUGCAGCAGUUCGUGAUUGUAUUGCUAAUAAAGUUCAUAUGCAUGCAUGCUUUUGAUACAAACAAGACAUACAUAUAUAUAUAUAUAUAUAUAUAUACAUAUGGUUACAACAAUCAUGCUAUUAUUAAAGAUAAUGGCAUAGUUCAUGGAAGUGGUAACACUAAUAUUCAAAUUUGACUAAGAUAAUCAAAGGUCAAGCGUCUAAACACGUGAGCAGCCGCCUUCUCUAUCAACUCCAACUGCCCUUUGAAGAUGUGCAUGUACACAAUCCAGUCACCUUUCCUAGCCGGACUCGGCAUUGGCAUCACAUACCCGGCAUUGCCGCCCCACGGGAAAUGGUACGACCCGAAAACCGGCAGUCCCCACCCGAAAUCCACCUCCGAAACAGGAAAUCUUUGCC
rnacentral:lncRNA from 1 species